CGAAUGCUGACAUAAGUAACGAUAAAGCGGGUGAAAAGCCCGCUCGCCGGAAGACCAAGGGUUCCUGUCCAACGUUAAUCGGGGCAGGGUGAGUCGACCCCUAAGGCGAGGCCGAAAGGCGUAGUCGAUGGGAAACAGGUUAAUAUUCCUGUACUUGGUGUUACUGCGAAGGGGGGACGGAGAAGGCUAUGUUGGCCGGGCGACGGUUGUCCCGGUUUAAGCGUGUAGGCUGGUUUUCCAGGCAAAUCCGGAAAAUCAAGGCUGAGGCGUGAUGACGAGGCACUACGGUGCUGAAGCAACAAAUGCCCUGCUUCCAGGAAAAGCCUCUAAGCAUCAGGUAACAUCAAAUCGUACCCCAAACCGACACAGGUGGUCAGGUAGAGAAUACCAAGGCGCUUGAGAGAACUCGGGUGAAGGAACUAGGCAAAAUGGUGCCGUAACUUCGGGAGAAGGCACGCUGAUAUGUAGGUGAAGCGAC
rnacentral:rRNA from 1 species